rnacentral:rRNA from 1 species
AUUGAACGCUGGCGGCGUGCUUAACACAUGCAAGUCAAACGGUGAAAGCGGAGCUUGCUCCGCUGGAUCAGUGGCGAACGGGUGAGUAACACGUGGGCAACCUGCCCCUCACUUCGGGAUAACUCCGGGAAACCGGGGCUAAUACCGGAUAUGACCUCCUUGGGCAUCCUUGGAGGUGGAAAGUUUUUCGGUGAGGGAUGGGCCCGCGGCCUAUCAGCUUGUUGGUGAGGUAGUGGCUCACCAAGGCGACGACGGGUAGCCGGCCUGAGAGGGCGACCGGCCACACUGGGACUGAGACACGGCCCAGACUCCUACGGGAGGCAGCAGUGGGGAAUAUGGCGCAAUGGGCGAAAGCCUGACGCAGCAACGCCGCGUGCGGGAUGACGGCCUUCGGGUUGUAAACCGCUUUCAGCAGGGAAGAAGCCGCAAGGUGACGGUACCUGCAGAAGAAGCACCGGCUAACUACGUGCCAGCAGCCGCCGUAAAAC